GACCGGCGCCUUCUCCUUGCUUCUGGGGUCGUGGCCUUGCUCCCGCUGUGCGGGAAAAGAAUCCAGGCCCUUCCACGCGCGUGUGGGCGCGGGGGCCCCGAAGUGCUCGUGGUUCCCCGCUAGGUCUCCGCUGGGGCAGGAACCGGAGUCAUGGGUGGGACCACCAGCACCCGCCGGGUCACCUUCGAGGCGGACGAGAAUGAGAACAUCACCGUGGUGAAGGGCAUCCGGCUUUCGGAAAAUGUGAUUGAUCGAAUGAAGGAAUCCUCUCCAUCUGGUUCGAAGUCUCAGCGGUAUUCUGGUGCUUAUGGUGCCUCAGUUCCCCUAAGGACCCCUACCUGAUAACACUUUUAAGACUGGAUCC
rnacentral:sRNA from 1 species